CCGGGAGCCCAGCAUCUUGUUUGAUGUCGCGCUCUCCCCGCCCUCCCAGCCCUUCUGCAGGCUUGGAGGCCGCCAGGGGCCUGGCACACAUUUCUCAGACACUUCAUUCCUUCCUUCCUCCGAGCUCCCCACUGAGAUAAUGGUGUAAACGGUUCCACCAGAUCUCGUCCGGAUGAGAAUCAGCGGUUCCUGACUCGGGGUGACCUUGGGCGAGCCCCUCUCAGUUCUUUCAUUCUGUGGCGCGCGCUCUGUGCCAGACACCGUGUUAAACCCUGGGAUUACCAGGAUGAGAGACACAGUGGCAGUCUGCAAGGAGUUUACAGUCAACUGGAGGCAGACGGACCCUGAUUUUCUGAUUGAUGGCCAGGCGUGCCUCUUAUAUUCCUUUCUCUUCGGGCUUAGAUGAUGGCCUGAGAGAUCAGACCCUGAAGGAAACACUAAACCACACCUAUAUGGGCAACAGUGUUGCUGGCCUACCCGGGGAUACAGGGAUGAACAAAAUGUUUAUUACCGUCAGGAAGUCUGCCGCCUGGAGAUACUCACUAGGUGCAGCUGACCUCUGUUUCCCAGGCUCUUUCUCUGGUAGGCUCGAGAGAGACAUUCGUGUGUCUCGAUAGAAGUAAAAUGCUGUGGAGGUUUAGGAUAGUUAAAUUAUUAAUAAGUUGGGGGCAUCCUGGAAAGCGUCCUGGAGGAAAUGGCCUGUGCUUUGUGUCUCGGAAAACAGGGAGGAUUGGGGCACUGGAAAUGUGAGUCAUGGGGCUGGGGAGGAUGGAAGUACCCAUGGCAUGAAAGGCCUACACUCUGGAACAUGAAGUCCUUAUUUGGGCAUCAUGGUCUGGAGUCCAGGGUGUCUGACAGGCAGGAUUAUAAGAAGGGACUGAAGGAGGAGGCUUGAGGCCAAGUCACAAGACCCUUAAAUAUCUUGCUAAAGGACUUUAGCCUUAUCUUUAGACAUUGGAGAACUAUGAAACGCUCUUGAAUGGAGAAGGGACAUCAAGAUUCUCCUUUAGGACGAUGGCUCUAGGAAAAGUGUGGAGAGUAGAUUAGAGGCAGAGAGCCCAGUGAGGAGGUUCAGGCUGGUAAAGGAGGUUCCUAAGUGACAGGUGUAGACUGACACUCACCUGGAAGCACCUGCCUAGAACCAGCUCACCUGGGCGUUGACUGUACACUGUCCAGUGAUCCAGGUUCAGCAGAAACCUGCCUACCCUUUCGCGCAAUGUUCCCCCGCGACCUGGAGUCCAACUAAAGAGUCAUUGUGACUCUGACUGAAUCUAUCUUCCAAGCCUCAUUUCCAUCUUCCAGGACAACCCUCAAGUCUGCAGCCAAGCCUUUACCUCAUUGCAAGCCUGGUUUACUCACUCUUGCCCCUCAGGCGACUCUCUGGGAUUUUUGUGUGUUUUCUUGCCACACUGCAGAGUGGGCUGUGCCCUAUCAUGUUCUGAAGAAACGGGUGAACAAUGUCUCCUUUGUUGACCUGCAACCUGGCCCAAUGGGACAGGACUUUCCUUUCUUAUUUUAAGCAGAUGGAAAGGUGGUGAUGACAGAAAAUUGUCUGUUGCUUUGGAAAAAAAGUGGAGUUUUCCCCGGGUAUUUGCAGUGCUCUUGGUGAAAGGUGAGGAGCCUGUGAAGUUACCCUCCUUUCUGCCAUGCAGACUUCGCAGGCUCCUUAAAAUGCUCUACUCAGCAUCUGACUUUUAAAAACUGCAUAAAUACUCUGACCCAGAUUCUUCCAAGGAACUAAACCCUUCCCAGGGAAGCAUGUUAACCCUUUCCAGGUUCCCCCCAAAUCUGUGAGAGCCAGUGACUUCCUCCACCAAAUGCUGCUAUGACAUUGACAUUGGGCCCUCAUUAACUAGCUGGGUAAACCAUCCCCUGUCCCUUCUAGCCAAAGAGUCUUUUUUGUCCCCGACUGUCCUCUCCUCUGGAUUUGGCACCCUGAAGGUGCGUGGAGAAUGUUGAAUAUAGUCAAGUUAAGGUCUCACUGCAGGGCCUGAAGCAGCCUCAUGGGUUAAAUAGUUAAUCAGCAACUCUUUUAUUGCCACUUUAGGAGUGCUUAGACUGGUAGGAUGAGCAAAUAACUUAAACACACACACACACACACACACACACACACACACUCACAUUUUUUGAGAGACAGAGGGGUCAGUCAAGCAACCAGAAAUUUGCCAUGAAUUUGUCUCUGGGCCAAACAAACAAAAAAACCCAACCCAUGAAAUCUCUGGCCCUCCACCCUCAUGAUUCAAGAAGAAAGUUUCUUUGCAAAUGUACUUACAUGUUAUUUUUCAGUAUCCUGAUUUGGGGCAGGGAAAAUAGGGCCCAGUUGACACUCUUUCCAGCCCUUCUCAAAUGGGGACCUAAGCUCCUAAACUCAAGAAAAGACUUUGGGAAUUGGAAGCCUCCUCUUAGAUAGAACAGCCUUUAUAUUUCAGUCCUCCUCUCCAACCCCCCCCUCCCCAAAGCAAAGGGAAAAUUGAACCCUGUUCAUCAACAGAGGUCACUGCUUUGAUCCCACUGUGAGACCAGCAAAACACAAGGAAUCUUUCCCACUGUAUCAUGUCGGAUAAAUACAACCAGGGGCCGCUCUGUUUAUCCCCCUUCCCCUUUCUGGCCCACGAAGGGUGAUUUUCUGUCUUCCUACAUCACCUGUUUGCUCUAAACCAUAAAACAAAUAACUGCACCUCCAGUGAGACUCCCCUUUGUCCCUAGGUAGCAGCCUGGUUUGUGGGUUUGGUUUAAAGCUACAGAAAACACAGAGAGUGAGAGAAGAAAAAAGGUAUUUUGCCUGAGGACUUGAAGCUUCCGCCCCCCCCCCCCCGUUUUCCUCCGCUUGACUGACUUUCUCACACUCGGAUUCCCUGCAGCCUGCCAGAGCCGAGGUAGCUGCCCUGCCAAGAGCUAUCCUGGGAGAGCUAUUGAAAGAGCCUUGAAGCAGAUGGGCCUGGAGCUCCCCACCUUCUGGUUUGCACUAGGUUGUGUGCUACUAUGGCGAUGCGACCAGGGGACUUUGCACCUGCCAAGCAUGGCGGAGAACAUCCAUCUCCCUUGGACAUGUGAAUGCAAAGAAAGCAAGUGCUGUAAUCUGAAAUCCAGGCCAUUGUUUAAUGGCAGAAGGAAGACCCCAAAGGAAGGAGCUUUUUCCCACCCCAAACACUCGCCCCUUUGGUCUUGAAUUUGACCGUGUUCUUUUAUGGAAAACAACAACAAAACAAAACAAAAACACACAAAACUUUUUUUCUGAAUAGCUCAAAGUCAAGGUUUGCUGUUUGUUAUUUCCUUAAAAAAAGUCAAGAGAGAAAAGAAAAUUGGGUCCCUAGCCUGAAUGUUCUCCUAUGUGCCUAUUUAAUGAUUAAUAACACCUUGUGGGCUAUUGUUUGAUGUGGCCUCUGCUGGUUUGAACAGGAGAAUACUGAUUCACUCUCAAGGCAUUUAUGAAUCACAAGUGUUUACCCUGAGACAAUAAAUGAAAGGGGGAGAUUGAAAAAAAAACACCCAAAUAUGCUGAGUUCUUUGAGCAAAAACUGGAGGUAAUAGUCUUUGAUACCCUGUGUGGGGCCCACUGUUUUCUUUCACAGAAUAAAGAUGGUGUAGAAUGAC